rfam:Triticum aestivum genome assembly, contig: Triticum_aestivum_CS42_TGACv1_scaffold_306331_4AS
CAAAUACCCCCUCCUUUCGAAAAAUCUUGUCCCAAACGUGUCCCUCAAAUGAAUGUAUCUAGCACUAACUUGGUGCUAAAUACAUCCACUUGAGGGACAAGCUUUUUCAGACGGAGGGAGUAUAUU